AAAGGGGUUUCUUGGUGAGUUCAUCAUCGCAUCAACCCUCGGUUCCGACACUGCUUAACCACCAACAGACCCUCUUCCUCGGUCAAGGACCGCCAUUGUUGUCUCAUCAAAGGGGUACCCUUCAGUCCAGCUUUUCGUCACAUCCGUUUCAUUCUUGGGAUCAUCAUCAUCAUCCCCAAUCUUCGGCAUUUGCUUCUCAGUUUGGUUCACAUGGAAUCAUGCAAGGCCUUAGUAUUCCCACUAGGAUCCAUGGAGGAGAAAGCGAAGGGCUCGGACCCCAGCGUCCUUCACCCUCCUCUUCAUCUCCUUCUCACUUGCAUCGUUGAUCCAUAGACAACAGAUUGGUUCAAGAUUUGAGGAACUCGAUGAAUCUGAUGAAGAGAAGACACCAAGAGGUUCUAUAAAUCCAGCUCAGGAGGAAUGAGAGUGUACGUACGCGAAGAGUUUUAGCGUAUAGAUCUUCGGAUGAUUUUACUUCUUAAUUAUUAAGAAUAUAUAUAUACACACGUAAGUUUUACAUAUACAUUAUUCAGAUUUUCACACAGAGAUCAUGAUCAUGGUACUGUGUAGAGAUGUGUUCUCUUGGGCUUUGGGUUUAUUAUAUUACCUGAUUUCGUUGCUUAGACAAUAGUUCGAAAAAUCUAUUUAUUUUUAUAUAAAAAAAACAACAACAUUAAAUGUUUCCGAAUUUAAUAAGAAAUUAAUUAAUGGU